UACUCUGUGUUUUUCUCUUUCACCGUCAGGAAAAUCAGUUCCAGAGGGUCACAGGGGAGCUCACACAUCGCAGAAGGGAACUUGUUGUGCAGUGGCCACUACCAUUAAUACCUUUGAUAUGGAAAUAAAAGGAAGAAAUUGCUUCAACAAUUCUCUAGAUUCCUCCAGUCUGUACAGACUCGUGCUUGCCUACCUCACAGAAACUGUGUGAAGCAAAAAUAUUAAGAACUGAAAUGCUGACGUACCAGAUUGGGAGAAGAUUUAUAACUAGCUUAGAUAAGACUAAAGGAAGAAAGUAUUAACUCACACUGAAGAAAAUCAGAGUGGUUUUUAACCUAGAAAUGUCACGUCCUCAGCAGCAUCCCAAAGCCUCCAGCCUGUGUUCACCAGACCUGCACCUCUCAUACCUCCUCCCUCAUUUCAGAACUUGACUUUGUAUGAACAUUCCCCCAGCUACCAAUAAAACAAAAGCUAUACCACUG